CCCUCGCCGAGAAAGACAUCGGAGCAAGAGUCCGAGACGGCACCGCAGCAGGUCCCGAGAUAGACGGCACAGAUCCCGCUCCAAGUCCCCAGGUCAUCACCGUAGUCACAGACACAGGAGCCACUCAAAGUCUCCUGAAAGAUCUAAGAAAAGCCACAAGAAGAGCCGGAGAGGGAAUGAGUAAUGGACUCAGUUUGGGUUUAGUCCCAAUGGCCUCCUUCGGAUAUG